GGGGAUGUAGCUCAGAGGUAGAGCACAUGCUU
rnacentral:piRNA from 1 species